rnacentral:lncRNA from 13 species
AACCCAGGAGCCGGUUCCCAGCCUCCAGCCGCGCGCCUGCCGGAAGAGGGGAGAGAAAGGAGGGGUAAAACCCUUCACGCGCCUGCGCUCAGCAGCCUGCCGGCUCAGCCAAGGAGAGCUCUGCCCGCGGCUCACUCCCCACCUACUCGCGUCUCGCGUCUCGCGCCACGCGGACCCCAGAAACCCGGACCCGAGAGCGAACGCGUCGCGCUCCCGCGCAGACUUAAGGUCCCGGGCGGGCGCCUGCGCACGAGCUUCCCAGGCGCGCAAGCUGCGGGGUUAUUAGAGGUGGAGCGCGGGGAGGGCGCGCGGCAGGAGGCGGUCGCCGUUACGGCGCGAGCGUGGUCACGUGGCCGCUGGUCACCGCCGCCACCCCCUCCCGCCCUGUUCUCUUUCAGGUCGGGCCGGGCCCGGCAGGUUCCGCGAGCGCCUGGCAGACUGAGGGAGAGAGAGAGAGAGAAAGAGGAGGGGAGGAGGAGGAUUCAGGGAAUAGGAGCUGGGGAGCCCUUCUGCGCCACAGUUAUAGAUGAAGAAUGAUAUUGAGAUGGCUGUUUAAGCUAUUACAACAGCUUUAUGAAAGUUAAAUGUCAUUGAUGUAAAUAUGAGGAGAGAAGAGAAUAUUUAUCUCCACUAAGUGACAUGCAAAACCAUGGUAAGAAUAACAGGCAGUGGGUGUACCUUAAGUAGUAAAAAUUCUGAAUUCAGAUACUAAUUAUAAGCACAAGGACACUUGCCUCCCACUUACUUAACUGUUGUAUAUUUUCUUUAGUCAAAGUGUAAUUCAGAGUUCUUGAAGUGCUGAAUAUGGCCUUUGUUUUUUUAUUUCCCCUUAGCAUAUAUAUUAAAAAAAACAAUAAGACACUUCUGCUGGACUGUGAUUUUGAUGGAUAUAGGUGGAAUAUUAAACCAUAUGCUAUAAAGAUAAAUUCAAAUGAUUGCUCUUGGAUUGUCUUCAUUGUGUGACUUCCCUGCUUCCUACUAUUAAAAACCAAAUGUUUAGUAGUAAAGGUAAAAUUAUUUAAACAUAUUUGAGCACAUUUUACUUGCUAUCUGUGGUUUACCAAGGACUUUAAGUCUUAGAUUUUGAAAGGUUGUAUUAAAACUGGUAUUAAGAGUAUAUCUGUUUAGAUUAUUCUGGACUUUAAAUUUUAUUUUAGACAUUGUCUCUGGCAUCUUGUCAUAAAAGUUAUGUGUGGUUUUGCUUCAUUAGCAGUUUUAACAUUUGUAAGUAUCUGAGAAGAAAACUUCCUCUGCAUUUUGAACAGUGCCUUUCAUUGGUGGUUUUCUAACAUGUUAUUCAGUUGUUGAAAGGUGUGUAGUACAGAUACUCUGUUCUUAGAAAGUAAUGGUCUUUUAAGUUGUAGAGUAGUAGGAAAAGUCUCAUAGGCUUAAAUUAUUUUAAAACCUUUGUUUUUAGAAAUAGAGGUAUAAGAAAACCUUUUGUAAUCUUGCCCUUUUUUUGUUCUUAGGUAUGCUUUUUAUUUAGCUUUUAGUAACUUGUAAUUUAAGAUCACAGUUAUUAGGUGUAUAUCUGCAU